UAGCAACUAAUGUGUUAGGCGUAUGCACACACGACCUCAAAUUCGUAUAUGUGUUAUCCGGUUGGAAAGGAUCAGCUACUGAUUCGAGAGUUCUUGGUGACGCUGUUACUAGAGCUAAUGGCCUCAAGGUCCCAACUGGUACAUAUUAUUUGGUUGAUUCCGGAUAUACGAAUGGUGAGGGUUUUCUGGCACCAUAUAGAGGCACUAGAUAUCAUUUGCAAGAGUGGGAAGACAAUUCACGUGCACCUAGGAAUCAUGAAGAAUAUUUUAAUAUGAAACACUCACGUGCUAGGAAUGUCAUUGAGAGAUGUUUUGGCCUCCUCAAACGACGUUAGGCUAUCUUACGAAGUCCUUCCCACUAUCCAAUCAAGAUUCAGGGACGAAUGAUCACCACAUGUAAUUUACUUCAUAAUUUUAUCAGAAUGUAUAUGGCAGUUGAUCCUGAAGAAAAUGCAAGGCUUGCAUUUGAUGAAUUACCUAUAGGGGAAGAUUUACCAGAAGUAUUAGCCUACAUUGAAACCGUUGAGUCAAGCCAAAUAUGGACUCAAUGGAGGGAUGAUCUUGCAAGAGAAAUAUAUGAUGAGUAGAGAGGAAGGAGGGCUUGAAAAUUGGUUAACAUGGUAGUUGUUGUAAUUGUCCUUUAGAUGUGGACUCAAUGUAGUUGUUGUAAUUGGCUUGAAAAUUCGUAACAUCAAGACUAUUGAGAUGUUUGUUAUUGUAAUAUGGUAAUUGGGAGUUAUCUAGAUGUUAUGGCUUAUUUGAUAUGUUUAUUUGUGUUACUAAAUUUUAAUAAAUUUUAAAAUUAGGGUGUA